UCGGGGUGGAUUAUGGCGAACGGGUGAGUAACACGUGGGCAAUCUGCCCUUCACUCUGGGACAAGCCCUGGAAACGGGGUCUAAUACCGGAUAAUACUUCUGCCUGCAUGGGUGGGGGGUUGAAAGCUCCGGCGCGUGAAGGAUGAACCCGCGGCCUAUCAGCUUGUUGGUGGGGUAAUGGCCUACCAAAGCGACGACGGGCACCCGGCCUGAGAGGGGGACCGGCCACACUGAGGACAGAGACACGGUCCAGACUCCUACGGGAGGCCCCCGUGGGGAAUAUUGCCACAUAGGCAAAAGCCUGAUGCACCCGACCCCCUUGAAGGAAGACCGCCUUCCGGUUGGAAAUCGCUUUCAGCAUGGAAGAAGCGGCAGUGGACGCACCCGGAGAACAAGCGCCGCGCUAACUUCUUGCCCGCCAACGCGGUAAAACCCUUAGGCGGAAGCUUUCGCCAGAAUUUAUGGGCGUAAAAAGGUCCUUCGCGUGUUGUCAAAUUACGACCUCGAAAGCCCCGGGCUUGAACCCCGGGC
rnacentral:rRNA from 1 species